CAAAAAAAAAAGAGAUUUGUGGCGAUUGGGAAAAAACGGACAGAAAACGUGACUGGCAACAAGUAGAAGCCCAAAAAUUCGAGAGGUUCUUGUGGCGUGGCACGAAGCAGCAGCGUUGUUGCAACAUUUUAUAGCAUAACAUCGGCAGCAUCGUUUGGCCACUUCAUUUUGCAAAGAGAGCGGAAAUUUAAUGAGCAACCAGCCACUGCCACUGCCACGGAUACUGCCACAGCCACAGCCAGUGCCUGCCACACAUCCGUCAGAUACUUUAUUUCACUUCUGUGCGGCGCACAGAUGCCUCCGGGCGGGCUGUAAUGAUGCGUUUAGCAGAUUAUGAGCUCAGGGCUCUCGACGGGGCCAGAAUUGGAGCAGCAUUUGGAGCCCAUCCGCCUAGUGGCUGCUACAUUUUGUGGUCAUUUACGGAGCAGCUGAAAAACUGCAUCAGAGGCGGCAACUGGAGGGCAACUGGAGUGCGAUUGGAGCGUGCGCCAGGACAUGAUUGUCCCAUUAUGCGAAAAUAAUUGGGUUUUGCAUUCCAAAGUGACAUUUAAGAAGGGUUUCAAACUGAUUUUAUUUCAGAACUUGGUGGAUUUAUGGAGAAAAUAACACUAAAUGUAUGGAGUGCAUCGGCUGCGUUGGCCAAAAAGCUCAGUGGAGCGUGUGGAAACAAGAACGAGGGAGG
rnacentral:sRNA from 1 species